rnacentral:misc_RNA from 1 species
GAAAGAAUAUCAAUUACUCUAUACAGGGGUGGUAACGACUUAUCUGUUUUAGUCAGCAAAGUUGCUUAGCUUCUCGUCACACCCUCAUGUUUCUUCUUUUGAAGGAAUUUGACGAGGUUUUCUAGUGCAACGUCGGAGUUGUUGCUCUUCAUGAGCUCUCCUGCUACUUCAGCUGGUGUUACCUUAACUCUCUGGAACAGAUCUUCAAUUUUCUUAAACAGUCUAUGCUCCUCUGUCUUUAGGUAAUUAGAUGCUA